UACGAGGGGGGCGAGCGUUGUUCGGAAUUAUUGGGCGUAAAGGGUGCGUAGGCGGUUUGGUAAGUCUCGUGUGAAAUCUCCGGGCUCAACUCGGAGCCUGCACGAGAAACUGCCGGGCUUGAGUGUGGGAGAGGUGAGUGGAAUUCCCGGUGUAGCGGUGAAAUGCGUAGAUAUCGGAAGGAACACCUGUGGCGAAAGCGGCUCACUGGACCAUUACUGACGCUGAUGCACGAAAGCUAGGGGAGCAAACAGG
rnacentral:rRNA from 1 species